rnacentral:rRNA from 1 species
GAAAGUCUGAUGGAGCAACGCCGCGUGAACGAUGAAGGCCUUCGGGUCGUAAAGUUCUGUUGUUAGGGAAGAACAAGUAUCGGAGUAACUGCCGGUACCUUGACGGUACCUAACCAGAAAGCCACGGCUAACUACGUGCCAGCAGCCGCGGUAAU